rnacentral:rRNA from 1 species
CGAGUCUUAAUUGGGCGUUAAGUUGCAGGGUAUAGACCCGAAACCCGGUGAUCUAGCCAUGGGCAGGUUGAAGGUUGGGUAACACUAACUGGAGGACCGAACCGACUAAUGUUGAAAAAUUAGCGGAUGACCUGUGGCUGGGGGUGAAAGGCCAAUCAAACCGGGAGAUAGCUGGUUCUCCCCGAAAGCUAUUUAGGUAGCGCCUCGUGAAUUCAUCUCCGGGGGUAGAGCACUGUUUCGGCUAGGGGGCCAUCCCGGCUUACCAACCCGAUGCAAACUGCGAAUACCGGAGAAUGUUAUCACGGGAGACACACGGCGGGUGCUAACGUCCGUCGUGAAGAGGGAAACAACCCAGACCGCCAGCUAAGGUCCCAAAGUCAUGGUUAAGUGGGAAACGAUGUGGGAAGGCCCAGACAGCCAGGAUGUUGGCUUAGAAGCAGCCAUCAUUUAAAGAAAGCGUAAUAGCUCACUGGUCGAGUCGGCCUGCGCGGAAGAUGUAACGGGGCUAAACCAUGCACCGAAGCUGCGGCAGCGAACGUAUCACCCAAGACAACUUUACGGAGUUGACGAUUGACGGAGCGAAGCGACGUCAAAGCGUUCAUUAAAGUCGAGUUGGCUUAGGGAUACGUUCGUUGGGUAGGGGAGCGUUCUGUAAGCCUGUGAAGGUGUGUCGUGAGGCAUGCUGGAGGUAUCAGAAGUGCGAAUGCUGACAUAAGUAACGAUAAAGCGGGUGAAAAGCCCGCUCGCCGGAAGACCAAGGGUUCCUGUCCAACGUUAAUCGGGGCAGGGUGAGUCGACCCCUAAGGCGAGGCCGAAAGGCGUAGUCGAUGGGAAACGGGUUAAUAUUCCCGUACUUGGUGUUACUGCGAAGGGGGGACGGAGAAGGCUAUGUUGGCCGGGCGACGGUUGUCCCGGUUUAAGGGUGUAGGUGUGUGUUCCAGGUAAAUCCGGUUCACUUUAACACUGAGGCGUGACGACGAGGCACUACGGUGCUGAAGCAACAAAUGCCCUGCUUCCAGGAAAAGCCUCUAAGCAUCAGGUAACACGAAAUCGUACCCCAAACCGACACAGGUGGUCAGGUAGAGAAUACCAAGGCGCUUGAGAGAACUCGGGUGAAGGAACUAGGCAAAAUG